rnacentral:rRNA from 1 species
AUUGAACGCUGGCGGCAUGCUUUACACAUGCAAGUCGAACGGCAGCGCGGGCUUCGGCCUGGCGGCGAGUGGCGAACGGGUGAGUAAUACAUCGGAACGUGCCCAGUAGUGGGGGAUAGCUCGGCGAAAGCCGGAUUAAUACCGCAUACGACCUGAGGGUGAAAGCGGGGGAUCUUCGGACCUCGCGCUAUUGGAGCGGCCGAUGGCAGAUUAGCUAGUUGGUGGGGUAAAGGCCUACCAAGGCGACGAUCUGUAGCUGGUCUGAGAGGACGACCAGCCACACUGGGACUGAGACACGGCCCAGACUCCUACGGGAGGCAGCAGUGGGGAAUUUUGGACAAUGGGCGAAAGCCUGAUCCAGCAAUGCCGCGUGUGUGAUGAAGGCCUUCGGGUUGUAAAGCACUUUUGGCGGGAACGAAAAGGACUAUGCCAAUACCACGGUUCGAUGACGGUACCCGCAGAAUAAGCACCGGCUAACUACGUG